AUAAAUCAAAGUUAAAAAUAAAUUCUAAUAAUCUUUUUUUGAUAAAAAUAAAAUAAAAAAUCCAACAUCCUACUACCCAUGAACUUGAAACCUUGAAAAAUAAAAGUUUAUCGAGCAAAAAAAGAAGAAAUCGUGAAGUUCGUGCAGAGACAAUAAAUCGAAACGUAAAUUAUCAGAAAUGGUAUUACGUAUAGCGUAUAUAUAUUUCAAUAAACACAAAACAAAACGGAAUAUUUAAGCCUUAAGAAGACAGAAUGUGUGUGUGCUGGAGAAACCUGUGUGGCAGCUUCACCAUAAUUACGUAGAGCGACUAUUCAUUAAGAUCGUUGAUCCUCUAUAUUUAUUGUUUGCGUUUUGUUUAUUUUCAACAAAUUAUCAUUCCAAUAUUAAAUCGAUGAUGAAAAUUAGCUGGAGAUUCAAGCCUCAAGUUUUACAUUUUAUAUUUAAUAUGUAAGUGAAAUGUAGUGAUGAUCCGUCGCGUUCAAUAUUUUCUUUAUACACACAGAAUACGCUUUUUCAAUCGUACCUUGCGUGUGCUAUUAAAGAAACUUACCAAGACAAGUUAAGUAAGAGAACAUGCCUUACUCGUAACAUAUCGAGCAACUCAAGAGCAUGCAUGCUCAUCCUACAGGAUAAACGGUACGCCACCAUUAAUAACAUUAUGCGCAUUCAUGUCAGUCGAGUCGAGCAAACGCGUUCAGAUUAUUAAAUUGCCGUUUUACAAGUACGCUUUCAUGAAGUAUAAAGCAAUAACAAACGCAAUCUUCAGACGCAUCCACAACUGUCUGCAUAAUAAACCUCCUGUUAUUUGUUCUUCAAAGUUACCCGCUAUAUUUCUAAUUCCUGGAGAUAACUGUCAUCAGAAAAUAUUAUAAUUAAUAAAUAUUCAUCAGGUAACUGAGUGUAGAUGAAGAAAAAAAUUUACAGGACAAUUAUCAAUGCAUAAACAGGUUGAUAAUGAAUAAUGACAUAUCCUUGAUUCAGUUGAAAUUUAUAGAAUUGUAAAUCCGAGAAAAGACUGACGAUGAUUCUAAUGUGGGCCAGCCACGCGAGCCCAUCAUAACCUCUAGGUCAUCGGCAGGGGGCUAAUCACAUGUUUCUCAGUAACGUCUUGCUCGCUAUUGGAUAUUUGCAUUUCUACGAGUUCUAAUGCCAGCUCGCAAUAAGAAUUAACCCUUGAGAUCUACAUUUAACAUUUACCACUCACAUGCAAGUAUACAUGCAAUCCAGAAUAUAGUCUAUAUAUCUUGAGCGCUCUAGAGUUAUAGAUCUAACUCGGGGAUUCCUGUCGGCGGAAGUGCUCAACCAAUUAUACCAGUCACCAGAAGAUAUCUAUCUAGGUGAUUUUUAUGAGUGAAAAUAUCAGGAAUUGCUCAAGGGUAACUCGUCGCCACCCAUUACAACAAAUUGAAAUUUGUUAAAAGCUGAAAAUUAUCUGGGAAUAGUUAAGUAUCUUCUCAAGAGGAUGCCGACAAAUUCCCGAGCGAGGUACGCAAAUCGUUAACGUAUGGCAUUAAUUAGAUGGCUAAUCAAACGGAACUUAAUUGUUAAAAAAUAAUCUGAUCUAACAAACAAAUAGUCCAAUUUAAUAAAAUAAUGGAAACAACACACACAUAUAGAUAGUUGGCAAUGAAAAUAAAAGCAUCAUCCCUUGGAUUCACUCUUCCGCGACCGAUUCUUUGAAGCUUCCGGCGGAACCCAGCGGUUAUUU